UUCACUUCGAAUAUACCCUCCUCGAUUGUUAAAAGAGAAACAUCGAAAGUCCCUCCACCAAGAUCGAAAAUAAGCACAUUUUUCUCCCCAGUCCUCGACCCCUUCUUGUCCAAACCAUAAGCAAUGGCCGCAGCCGUAGGCUCAUUGAUAAUUCUCAUGACAUUUAGCCCUGCAAUAGCACCAGCAUCCUUGGUGGCCUGCCUUUGCGAGUCAUUGAAAUAAGCAGGAACAGUGAUGACAGCAUUCUUCACGGUGUGACCCAGAUAAGCCUCAGCAAUCUCCUUCAUCUUGGUUAGAACCAUAGAAGAAAUCUCUUCAGGCGCGAAUUGUUUCUCUUCACCUUUAUAUUGCACCACGAUCAUAGGCUUGUCACCAGGGCCAGAAAUGACCUUGAAAGGCCAGUGUUUCAUGUCGCUUUGGACAGUAGGAUCAGAGAAGCGCCUACCAAUGAGACGUUUGGCAUCAAAAACAGUGUUUUGAGGGUUCAUGGCGACUUGGUUCUUGGCCGCAUCGCCAAUAAGACGCUCGGUGUCAGUGAAGGCAACAUAAGAAGGAGUGGUUCUGUUGCCCUGGUCAUUGGCAAUGAUCUCAACACGAUCGAUCUGCCACACGCCCACGCAGCUGUAGGUGGUACCAAGAUCAAUACCAAUAGCCUUGCCUUCAGAUUUUGAGGCCAUUGAAGCAAGAAAGUUUCAAACAAACAGCUCAAGAAAGGAUGAGAUUGACACCGAGAAAGGUUAAUUUGUCUGUGUGAAUGUGGAUUUUUUGCUGUGAUUUCAGUCUUGGAUGGAAAUGGGGGUUGUGGGUUUGAUAUAUAAGAG
rnacentral:misc_RNA from 1 species